AGUAACGCGUGGGUAACCUGCCUCAUACAGGGGGAUAACAGUUAGAAAUGACUGCUAAUACCGCAUAAGCGCACAGUGCUGCAUGGCACAGUGUGAAAAACUCCGGUGGUAUGAGAUGGACCCGCGUCUGAUUAGCUAGUUGGUGGGGUAACGGCCUACCAAGGCGACGAUCAGUAGCCGGCCUGAGAGGGUGAACGGCCACAUUGGGACUGAGACACGGCCCGA
rnacentral:rRNA from 1 species